rnacentral:rRNA from 1 species
AUACGGAGGGUGCAAGCGUUACUCGGAAUCACUGGGCGUAAAGCGCGCGCAGGCGGUCUUUUAAGUUGGAUGUGAAAGCCUACGGCUCAACCGUAGAACUGCAUCCAAAACUAUUAGACUAGAGUGUGGGAGAGGAAGAUGGAAUUAGUUGUGUAGGGGUAAAAUCCGUAGAGAUAACUAGGAAUACCAAAAGCGAAGGCAAUCUUCUGGAACACUACUGACGCUGAGGCGCGAAAGCGUGGGGAGCAAACAGGAUUGGAUACCCCGGUAGUCC